UCAUUAGGUACAGACCAAUCAGAAACAAAUGCUCAUUUUUUGAAGUAUCAGUUGCUGUAAAGCUGUCUUCAUACACAGUUUACAUACUAAAGAAUUUCAGCAUUAUCAAAUAAAUGGUUUUCAAUCCAUUGACAGGAAGCCAUGUUUGUUGCAAUAUAUUGUUUGUGGUAGACACUGGGAAGAAACCGACUAUUGAAUGUGUAUUUAUUUGUCUCCUGGUACAAAACUGAUGGAAGAGCAGCCAUGAUGAAGCAGUAAAAAGGUUCUUGGAUACCUUGCUUCAAUACCUCUUGUCAAACAAGAAAAGACCUGGCUAAGGAGUAGAGCUUCAAAUAAUUUAUCACCAAGAAAGUUACUGAUUUAAUCCGAAUCCUGUAACGCGAAAGAUUCUUAAUUAAGCUAAGUGUGCAAUAUUAGGUCAGUUAAGACGACAGUAAUGCAUAGGUAUAUUUUGAAAUCUAGACAUAGUAGCUGUUGUUAUAUUAUUGAUUUAAACAUGCCUGUAUAGUACAAUGCAUAAUAUUUUAUGUUUUCUGCAAGCUUCAAUUAAAGAA